AUGGAGGCGGCGCGCGCGGGGGUGCGGGCGUCCCACGAGGGCACCGUGCCCUACGCCGAGUUCCUGCGCCUCUGCUGCGACGCCGUGGGCGCGGACGACGGGCCCUCCGUUGCGCGCGCGCUCGACGAGUCCGGAUCCUUCAUCGUGCUCGGCAGGACCGUCUUCCUCAGGCCCGAAAUGAUUACAUCAUUGGAGCACCGUUCUACAAAUGUGAUUAAUUUGGCAUGGGUAUGCGUACAGUCGGAAUGA
rnacentral:rRNA from 1 species